AAUGAAGAAGGGAAUGACCAGAAGAAGAAGCUGGUUCAUGAUCCAAGUUUGAUAUUGUAGAGGAAGUAAUCUGGAUACUUCAAAGAUGAGACUGGUUCAUACAGACUUGUGAACCAAGUUAUGGUUAGAGUGGAGAAGGAAGAAGCAUGGAUGUGUGUGAUCCAUUGAUCUUAUAAAUAAAGAAGACAAAGAGAAGAAGAGAUACUUGAAAAGAUUCAGGUCUGGAAAACCUUGCUACACAAGGCAGUCCGUACAGUCUUGGCUUCCAAGUUACCUAGAGUGACUUGGAUGGUAAGGCAGGUGAGGAACUCGUACAGCUUGAUCUUCUGAAGCAGAUUUGAAGUUAAAAUGGAGCAUCAGACCGUCGGAGAGAGCUGAGACAAGUUGGGAAUUAAAUAGAGUAAGAGUCACAUGUGCAUAAGAGGAUGAACCUGCUGUCACUUUCACCCAACCAGACUGUGCCCAUCUCUCUCCCCUGUCACUCUCUACUCCCUCUGGUCGAGAUUCACCUUGGCUGUACCUUCCUGGCUUCACCAGAAAACCCUACAAUAUUAUUUGUUUAGUAAAACCCUGUUUUAGUAUUUGUUUAAUAUGUGUGCUUGUCUAUUUAAGAUAAUGAUGUAUCUGAUUGUAAACUAAGGAGAGUAAAACUCUUUCUUCACAUACUCUGGUUACUACACUCUCAGAUUCUCUCUCUAUUCUCUUGUCUCUCACGACCUCCAUUACUCCCUUAUACUCUAGCAUACUCAGAAACUCUCCCAAACACUUUAUACUCUCUUCACUCUCUCAUUACUUUCAAUUGCUCAUCAAUCACUCUCUCUGGUUUCAUACUGAACCAGAAGCUUAUUCUCAUCAUAUUCCUUUUAUUUCAUCUCAAUUCUUUCAUGGUAUCAGAGCCACAAGCUCUUGAGAACCUAUAUUGCUUCCGCAAAUCAUCCCUGUCCAAAAUCUCUCUUUAAAAAUCUGUUCAAACCUGUUUGUUACAUCCUUUUAUCCUCUGGUCCAAAGGUUUUCCAGGAGAGGAAAACCUCACCAGAACUCAAGAUAAAGGAGUAUCUCAGUCUCUGGAACUCAAGAAAGUCUUAGCUCAGUUCAGCAAGCUUCAUCAAAGUCCAGUCUUUCAAAUCCUGUCCCUUUCAAACCAGUAGGAACAUCCUAUUAUCCACUGGUCCAAAAAUCUUCAAGAUGAUGAAUAUUCAAGCAUGGGCGAGUUCAGUGAAGCUCAAAACUCCAAACUACUCUCUCUGGGUCAGAAUGAUGAAGAAAAACCAUAGAGGCAAAGGUGUUUGGAGCCAUACUUCAGAUGAAGCUCCAUGGAAAAUCUGCAAGGUCUUUGCUCAUGUUAAUGAGAGACAACCAGAAGCUCAGUCUCUGUCCAACAAAUCCUACUUCAAGUUGGAAGAGAAGAAAGGUCAGAAGAGUCAGCACUGCAAGGAAGGACUCACUAAGGAUAGGUGGUGGAUAUUCAAUCCACAUCUGAAACAAAUGUACUUUCAAUAAGCCCCCAUGGGCUGGAGAGUCAAGAAACCAGCUCAGGUUUCUUGAGAUUGUGGUGACAGGUUAUUAAAUGUUAUGUGAUGACCUUUACACAUCAAGCACAAGCUCAAAGCUCACACCCUCUUGAAGACUGCUCAAACCGACUUUCUCAAAUUUACUUCAAUAUGGAGUCAACAAAAGCCACGGUCCUCUCAGUCAUUCUCAGGGUUCCUAUCUGAUCCCCUGGUCGUGUAUGGUGAAGUCAAAUCAGCAAGAAGAAACAUUGAGAAGCCAUUUCAUCUCAUGUUCUUAAAAGCACUCAAAUUCAGCCAUGCUUCAAGGAAAGUUCACAGGCGGAUGAUGUCCAAUAGAACCAAGAAGACCAGGAGGACAGGAGGGGAUCCAAGGGUGAGCUUUACAAACAGGGCCAAACACACAAGGAAAAGGAGUUGGGUAAUGAAUCCAAAACUCAAAUCCACCAAGCUCAGAUGAGUAGUGUGUAUAUGAAGGUUCAAGGAACCAGCCCAGGUUCCUUGGCUGUAAGUUAAACCUCCUAAACCUGAACAAUAGCUUGUGUAAUGUGUCUGGUCGUUUUUGAGUGAUGGUUUAGAGUCCAAUGGAUCAUGAUAAGUUGCUAGAAGUUGCAUUUUGUCUUAAUCUUAUCAUCUGUGGUUGUUUUUGUUCCUAGAAGUGUCUGCCUAGGUUGUCAUGCAUCCAUGAUAUAUUGAUAUCGAUUGGGAGUCCUUUAAUUGUCAUGUCUGCCUUGAGAUUGUUAAGUAUCUAGGAGUGUUCCUAGAUGUGUGGUGUAUUCAUGCUGUUGUUGAAAUUGAUUAGGUUAUUAGCCUAGUCUUCUUUAGCAUCUGGAUUGUCUUAAAAAUGCAUAUUGGAUUGUAUUAAAGAGGCAUACAUAUUGUUCCUGGUGCAUUCAUAUUGUUUCUAAAGCUGUCAUAGGAGGUGAUAAGCUGUUUUGCAAUCUGUUUUUUUUUUAAGCAGUUGCGACCAGUCUUCAUUUUAUUCAAUGAUCUGGUCCCAUGCUGAUGUUACUGAUCCCUAUCUGAGUUGUAAUGGUGUGUAGGACACAUGAUGUGACUAUUAGACCAGAAGCAGCAACAGGAAAAGAGAUAUACCCAUGUUGAUCAGAGCCUGCACAAGAUGCAUAUUCCUGAACAUGGAGAAAAGAGACCAUGUUGUUCAGAGCCUACACUUGGUGUAUAUUACUGACCAUGGAGAGACAUCUUAUGAGUGGAAUCAGUUGGCUUAAGCGCAGGCGUAGGAGCUGUUGUGCUCCUGGUUCAAGAGACUCACAAGGAAGGCCAUCACCUAAGUCAUGAGGAGACUGGUGGUCCAAAGACAUUGGAGCUGAAGGCAAAUGGUGAUCCAGUUGGCUUAAGCGCAGAUGUUGGUAUUGUUGUGCUCCCAGUUCAAAACUCAUUGAAGCUCACGUUCAAGCUUGUCACUAUACUCAGUCAAGCUUGAGGAGGGGAAUAUCAGUGAGCUACCAAAAGAUCCAUGAAGCUUAUUAUAUCCAGUGUCCCAUUUCCUCAUAGAAGACCAGCAAGAGGUUGGCAAAUUAAAAGAGGACUUAAGUGAUCAGUCUGAAGAAGCUGUCACUCCUCACUGUUCUUACCAGCCAGAUGCAAGGAUUAUUCAAUCAGGGACAUUCUUGGCUAAGCAAUCACAUGAUGGUGGCAAAUUAUGGAGUUGCAAAGUCCCCCUACAUGUUGAAACUUCAAGAGAACAAUGCAAAGGCUGGUUGAGAGAAGGAAUGGCGUGGAGGAUUCAAGUGCUCUGCACUCCUCAUCAACAUUCCAGAAACUAAUGCAAGGGGAGUACCUAAAACCAUCCUUAUUCUUAUGUGAGAAUAGGUUUUCCCCUUGAGAAUUGAUACAUGCAUUCUUUGUAUGAUUGAAUCAGGUACCUAUUGAGCUCAUGAACAAAGGCAAGCUUUGUCUCAACCCCUAAAUAGAGGCAAGAAGCCAGAAGAAAGGGGGAGACAAGCUCAGGUCAUAAGAAGAAGCUCAAAGGUGAUUUGAUGGUGAAGGAAUUGGCGCCAAUCCAAGUUUGCAAGUAGUGGAUUCACUCUUGCAUUACUCAGUACCAACCGUGUGAUUGAGCUCACCAUUCUUAUAAAAGGGAAGCACCUUAAACUCAUCUCAAUACAUUCAUGAUUGUCCUUAUACUUAAACUAUUAUUGAGUUUGAUGUGAUGAGUGCAUUUCCUUAAGAACUGAUGCACUUUUGAAAUGAUGUAUCAGGUACCAAAAUAAGCUUGAGCCUCACUGAAGAUGAUGAUGAUGAUCCGGUCAUGUCCUAGCCUUCCUAAGGUAGCUUGAAGCCAGUUGAGAGAGAGAGAGACCCUAAACCGGCCACAAAAUGAUCCAGCCGGCCACUUGUGCUCAAGGAUAGCAAGUUAUGGUGAUUCAUACUUGCUAUACCUAUUAGGCCACGAUCCAGAGCCUAAGGACUCCACCAUGAUGAAUCUGAAGUUCCUUAGGCUCACUGGCCAAUCCCUAAGCUUUGUAGAAACUCCACUCUUUUUCCCUUAGCAAGUUUUGUCCCAAUGGGUUUUCUUGCUAAGGUUUUUAAUGAGGGAGCUUCUUCAAGGUUCCAAGCUUGUCCAAGGAUCUCCUAUGGUCAAGCUUGAGGGGGAGUGUUGAAAUGAAGAAGGGAAUGACCA